UCUGGAAACAUCGCGACUCUGUGAUAGGCUCUGUUAAAUAAGGACGUUUUUUACUUCUGACGGAACGCCGAACUAACGUUACCGUAUUGCUCGUUCGCUAAGGCAGGCAAUGUUGAAAGCGCCGAAGCUAUGACACGCCUGGAAAGUAUUUCUGUUAGACGACGUGAACCGCCUCCGAAGUAGGUCAGGCCACAGUUACAUAGGGAAGACAGCGCCGCACGUUCGAAUCCAGACAGUAGAGCUCGAGACGGCUGUGGCACGGGCCAGGAUUUGCUGUUGGGCCACAGCGGGUUCUCAUCAAAGGAUCAGCAGAUGCGCAUCAUGCUGCUGUGUCCUCACGCAUCCCAUCCGGUCUUGAUUUAACCGGUGUAACUCGACAACCUGAUUAAAACUUGGUAUUUCAUCGUGAGACGGUUUGCGGUUCUGCUGUCAGUAUGAGUAUCAUCAUAAGGCACCGGCUAUGAUUCAGGUAGGACUCUGAAAUAACCUCCGGGAGGGAGGCGCCAGUGGGGAUAAAUUCAGGAAAAGAGCUCCGUCGGCCGGUAUAUAAAGAAGUCGAAUCAUAGUGAAGGGUCUACAUUUCCAGCAUCCAUACACGCAGAAAUUUUUUACGAUUCGUUGUUAUCGUCCGGGCCCCAGUCCGAACCUCAUUUAUGAUGAGGUGGACCCUAUCUGCUGGAAUGGUGGCCCUGGCCGUAUUACUGUUUCUUUUUACCCUCCUGCCCAGCCCAGGUGAGGCCGGGAGGAGCAGCGAACUCAAUAAGCGACCAAGGAUAGAUUUGCGUACGUGGCUGAAAAAUAUCUACCCACAAAUUGCUGAGGAUGAGGAGAUCGUACAACCAGUAGGCGGGAUUACUGGUACUGGAGCACCAGAUAAGCGAAUCCGUGAUGAGGAUUAUGGACAUUUGCGAUUCGGUCGCGCUGGACUUGGGGAUGACUAUGGUCACAUGCGAUUUGGCCGCAAGUAGGGCAGCCAUACAAUAUCAUCGGGUGAAAGAUCUGUAAUCCACCAAGGACAAAAACCAUAAUCGCCAGUGUGCAAAAUUGGAAAGCUCUGUUCAGAAUUUUUUAUUUUGUUAUUGUUCCCUGAAAAGGUCACCAGGAACAGUAGAAAUCUCAGUGAUGGUGCGUUCACGGAUCCGCCAACAAUAAGAGCAAAAUCAGACUAUGACAUAUAUGUUUGUACUCUGCUCUAUAAAAACGGCUGACCUAUGCUGAAGCACUAGAAUAUUACAGAUACACACAUGGCCUAUACGUGGAUAGAGGAAUGCCAGUUGUUAUUUGAAUAAAAUGUAAAAUCAGUCAAAUCGAGAACAUGAAAAAUCGAACACGAUUGGAUUGUUGAAAACUUAUUACGUUACCAUAAACAGCUAGGUGACUUACACCGGGCCAGAGUGAUCAACACACAAAUAAAUGAUAAUGUAAUAAUAUCAUUUAGAUUUACUAAUUAGUUGAACAUCUUAUAGCCAGCUAGUGACUGUGUUCAAAGAAAGGAAACAAGGAACGGCUCACAGAAUUUGCCUUUUUUCGGUGGCGACCCAUAUGUUGAGAUCGACGACUAUAUGGCGGUGACUGAAGCAGCUGUCUGGCUCCAGUGAUAGUUUCACGAUGGUGAUAAAGGUGAUGAUACCGUACAUGCAUCGAUAUCGUAACAAGAAAAACGUAUGCCGGUAUACACAGACGACAUAUUCACAGGAUGCGAAACGGUAGAAGAGCAUAGAAAAUAGGUGGAAAGCGUAAGGUACGACAAAGGUUGUCGUGAACACGCGAUAUUUCGUGAACAAAUCCAACGUCAUGUAGCUCAAUAUCAAUAAUAAUAAUAAAAUGUACAUGAGCAAUUAAAUCGUGGACAAAGCCUGGUGACUUUCAGCGGGUCCUACGUUCUGUAUUAAUAAUAGCGUUGUGAUAACAAUUAAUAUUAU